rnacentral:rRNA from 1 species
AGUGAACGCUGGCGGCGUGCUUAACACAUGCAAGUCGAGCGGUAAGGCCCUUUCGGGGGUACACGAGCGGCGAACGGGUGAGUAACACGUGGGUGACCUGCCCUCAGCUCUGGGAUAAGCCUGGGAAACCGGGUCUAAUACUGGAUAUGACUCCAUGACGCAUGUUGUGGGGUGGAAAGCCUUGUGCGGCUGAGGAUGGGCCCGCGGCCUAUCAGCUUGUUGGUGGGGUGAUGGCCUACCAAGGCGACGACGGGUAGCCGGCCUGAGAGGGCGACCGGCCACACUGGGACUGAGACACGGCCCAGACUCCUACGGGAGGCAGCAGUGGGGAAUCUUGCGCAAUGGGCGAAAGCCUGACGCAGCGACGCCGCGUGAGGGAUGACGGCCUGG